CAUACAGACGCUAAAGGGUGAUUUUUGCGAAUCGGUAUCUGACGCUGAGAGCCACUGACCAAGCAUCAGUAUUUUACAAGUUGGGAAUGAGAACGGGUUGGCAAGGUGUAACUGUACCUGGGCCCUUGUUAUUGUCUAAUGUUGUGUCUUUUAUAGUGUUCAAUUCAUCCGACAACAAAAUUAAAACCAUGAAGUCAUAGUAUUCAAAGAAGGUUAAAGUCAAGCACAACUGGACUUGGUUAAGCUUCUUGAAGACAAUUCAUCUCUCAUCUGAGAGACUUCUUCAGUUCUGAAAUUGUAUGAAAUGCAUGAAAUUGUAAUAAAACUUAUGAUGUCAGAAGUCUUUUCAUUCUUCUCUCUUGUCUAUACUGUUACUGGUAAUAAAAACUAGGAAGGUGGGA